ACAGUACUCCCUCCGUUCCAUAAUUCUUGUCAAAAUAUAUCCAGACAUUUUUAAUGAUAGAUACAUCCAUUUUUAGACAAAUUUAAGACAAAAAUUAUGGAACGGAGGGAGUAGUUU
rfam:Brachypodium distachyon strain Bd21 chromosome 1, whole genome shotgun sequence.